rnacentral:rRNA from 1 species
UUACGCUGUUAUCCCUAAGGUAAUUUACUCUUAUAGUCACUAAAAAUGGAUCAAAAAUAUAUAAAUAAAUAUAAAAAAAUAAAAAGAGUUAUUUUAAUCUUCCUAUCACCCCAACAAAAUUUACACAACAUUAAAUUUUGACCCACAAAAAAUAUUUAAAUAAUUAAACUCUAUAGGGUCUUCUCGUCCCAAAAAAAUAUUUAGGCAUUUUAACCUAAAAUUUAAAUUCAACAUAGUAAAAAUCAAAGACAGUAGUUACCUCGUCAAACCAUUCAUUCCAGCCUACAAUUAAAAGACUAAUGAUUAUGCUACCUUUGCACGGUCAAAAUACCGCGGCCUUCAAAUAAUCAGCGGGCAGGUCAUACAUCAUAAUAACAGCAAAAGAGAUGUUUUUGUUAAACAGGCG